AGAUUGAACGCUGGCGGCAGGCCUAACACAUGCAAGUCGAGCGGCAGCACGGGUACUUGUACCUGGUGGCGAGCGGCGGACGGGUGAGUAAUGCCUAGGAAUCUGCCUGGUAGUGGGGGAUAACGCUCGGAAACGGACGCUAAAUACCGCAUACGUCCUACGGGAGAAAGCAGGGGACCUUCGGGCCUUGCGCUAUCAGAUGAGCCUAGGUCGGAUUAGCUAGUUGGUGAGGUAUGGCUCACCAAGGCGACGAUCCGUAACUGGUCUGAGAGGAUGAUCAGUCACACUGGAACUGAGACACGGUCCAGACUCCGUAGGGAGCAGGCAGUGGGGAAUAUGGACAAGUGGGACAAAGCCUGAUCCAGGCCAGUGCCGCGUGU
rnacentral:rRNA from 1 species